UACGUAAGGUCCGAGCGUUGUCCGGAAUCAUUGGGCGUAAAGGGUACGUAGGCGGAUACGCAAGUUAGAAGUGAAAUCCUAUAGCUCAACUAUAGUAAGCUUUUAAAACUGCGAAUCUUGAGGGAUGGAAGGGAAAGGGGAAUUCCUAGUGUAGCGGUGAAAUGCGUAGAUAUUAGGAGGAAUACCGGUGGCGAAGGCGACUUUCUGGUCAUAAACUGACGCUGAGGUACGAAAGCGUGGGGAGCAAACAGG
rnacentral:rRNA from 1 species